rnacentral:rRNA from 1 species
UACACAUGCAGUCGANGGUAACAGGAAGAAGCUUGCUUCUUUGCUGACGAGUGGCGGACGGGUGAGUAAUGUCUGGGAAACUGCCUGAUGGAGGGGGAUAACUACUGGAAACGGUAGCUAAUACCGCAUAACGUCGCAAGACCAAAGAGGGGGACCUUCGGGCCUCUUGCCAUCGGAUGUGCCCAGAUGGGAUUAGCUAGUAGGUGGGGUAAAGGCUCACCUAGGCGACGAUCCCUAGCUGGUCUGAGAGGAUGACCAGCCACACUGGAACUGAGACACGGUCCAGACUCCUACGGGAGGCAGCAGUGGGGAAUAUUGCACAAUGGGCGCAAGCCUGAUGCAGCCAUGCCGCGUGUAUGAAGAAGGCCUUCGGGUUGUAAAGUACUUUCAGCGGGGAGGAAGGGAGUAAAGUUAAUACCUUUGCUCAUUGACGUUACCCGCAGAAGAAGCACCGGCUAACUCCGUGCCAGCAGCCGCGGUAAUACGGAGGGUGCAAGCGUUAAUCGGAAUUACUGGGCGUAAAGCGCACGCAGGCGGUUUGUUAAGUCAGAUGUGAAAU